rnacentral:lncRNA from 1 species
AAUUAUAGUGAAUUUCCAAGGGGUCGCUUAGGGAGUGGACGUAGGUGCUAAGGAGAGCACCGAACCACUAUACUUCUUGUUGUUUGUAUUGUAAUUUGUUUAAUUCCACUAACUCAUCAUUUAACAUAAGUAAGAUAGUUAAAAUUAAGAGAAACCAAUUUACCCCCCCUCUUGGCUUGUCACCUUGGGCAACAAGUGGUAUCAGAGCAAGGUGCUCCAAUAGUAAUUAUUGAUCUCACAAUCAAGAGUUAAAGAUCAUGACAACCCAAGUGGGAUGUUCUAUGAGUGAGGGA